CAGGUAAAUAUCAUUACACAAUUAUGUACUUUUCUGAAAUGUGAACUGAACUGUGUGCUCAGGUAUUUUCAGUAACCAUUAGUAUUCAGAAAUCAUUUGCAUAGUUGCAUGUAGUUCAACACUGUAGCUGUAAGAUUCAUGGUAAUUAACACUUCUAGGUGAUUUGUAGUAUUGUAAGCAAAUCUUAUAAACUUUGGAUGGUUUACAUUAGGGAAACAGAGGAUAUUACAUGUUACAUUCUCUGUAGUUCUGUCUGCAUUGCUGGAAAUCACUUUACAGUGUCUUAACAAAAACUUCGUAUCUGUUUCAAUAAUGCAGUGCUAUGCUGAGAAGCAGGCUAUGGGCGAAGUGAGCCAGGAGCUGCUGGACACCCAGGUGAAUCCAGCCGUGUGGGAGAUCAGUGGCCACAUUGUGCUGAAGCGGAGGAAUGACUAUGAGGAGGCAUCUGAAACCUCUGCGUGGAAGCUACUCGCUGAGGUCUCCCUGUCUGAGGAACGCUUCGAGGAAGUGAAGGCCUACAUCUUCACUGCUGCUGGUCUGGUUCAGGCCGAUGAGGAGAAAGUCAGUGAGGGUGAGGAAGCAACCUACAAGCCCGUCCCCGUCGCCCCUCUGCCUAUUGCAGAAGGCUGCCUCGUCCUCCAGUGAGACGGUACUGCAGCUGCAGGCCGUCGUCCUAGUAAGCAUGUCAUGGUUGUCUCC
rnacentral:lncRNA from 1 species